ensembl:snoRNA SNORA73 Small nucleolar RNA SNORA73 family
UCAACGUGUAAUACCCUGGGAGAUCAUUUUUUCCAGGCUCUGUCCACAUGACUUAGGGGAGCACAGGGCUCUGCCCCAUGAUGUAGUCUCUUUCUACAGCAUUGGUGAUGAAGCUGGGUCUGGUGGACCUGCAUAUUCCUGUAGCUUCUCAGAGUCCUGUGGACAAUCACUGGGGAGACAAACCAUGCAGGAAACAUGU